rnacentral:rRNA from 1 species
UGGGGAAUUUUGGACAAUGGGCGCAAGCCUGAUCCAGCAAUGCCGCGUGAGUGAAGAAGGCCUUCGGGUUGUAAAGCUCUUUUGUCAGGGAAGAAACGGUUCGGGCUAAUAUCCUGGGCUAAUGACGGUACCUGAAGAAUAAGCACCGGCUAACUACGUGCCAGCAGCCGCGGUAAUACGUAGGGUGCGAGCGUUAAUCGGAAUUACUGGGCGUAAAGCGUGCGCAGGCGGUUUUGUAAGUCUGACGUGAAAUCCCCGGGCUUAACCUGGGAAUUGCGUUGGAGACUGCAAGGCUGGAGUCUGGCAGAGGGGGGUAGAAUUCCACGUGUAGCAGUGAAAUGCGUAGAGAUGUGGAGGAACACCGAUGGCGAAGGCAGCCCCCUGGGUCAAGACUGACGCUCAUGCACGAAAGCGUGGGGAGCAAACA